AGAGUUUGAUCCUGGCUCAGGACGAACGCUGGCGGCGUGCUUAACACAUGCAAGUCGAACGGAAAGGCCCUUCGGGGUACUCGAGUGGCGAACGGGUGAGUAACACGUGGGUAAUCUGCCCUGCACAUCGGGAUAAGCCUGGGAAACUGGGUCUAAUACCGAAUAGGACCACAGGACACAUGUCCUGUGGUGGAAAGCUUUUGCGGUGUGGGAUGGGCCCGCGGCCUAUCAGCUUGUUGGUGGGGUGAUGGCCUACCAAGGCGACGACGGGUAGCCGGCCUGAGAGGGUGUCCGGCCACACUGGGACUGAGAUACGGCCCAGACUCCUACGGGAGGCAGCAGCGGGGAAUAUUGCACAAUGGGCGAAAGCCUGAUGCAGCGACGCCGCGUGGGGGAUGACGGCCUUCGGGUUGUAAACCUCUUUCACCAUCGACGAAGGUCCGGGUUUUCUCGGGCUGACGGUAGGUGGAGAAGAAGCACCGGCCAACUACGUGCCAGCAGCCGCGGUAAUACGUAGGGUGCGAGCGUUGUCCGGAGUUACUGGGCGUAAAGAGCUCGUAGGUGGUUUGUCGCGUUGUUCGUGAAAUCUCACGGCUUAACUGUGAGCGUGCGGGCGAUACGGGCAGACUUGAGUACUGCAGGGGAGACUGGAAUUCCUGGUGUAGCGGUGGAAUGCGCAGAUAUCAGGAGGAACACCGGUGGCGAAGGCGGGUCUCUGGGCAGUAACUGACGCUGAGGAGCGAAAGCGUGGGGAGCGAACAGGAUUAGAUACCCUGGUAGUCCAA
rnacentral:rRNA from 1 species